AUUGAACGCUGGCGGCAUGCCUAACACAUGCAAGUCGAACGGCAACGCGAGUAGGGUAACCUUACUUGGCGGCGAGUGGCGGACGGGUGAGUAAUAUGUAGGAAUCUACCUAGAGGUGCGGGACAACUUGGGGAAACUCAAGCUAAUACCACAUAAGCCCUACGGGGGAAAGCAGGGGAUCUUCGGACCUUGCGCCUUAUGAUGAGCCUACAUCGGAUUAGCUCGUUGGUGGGGUAAAGGCCUACCAAGGCGACGAUCCGUAGCUGGUCUGAGAGGAUGACCAGCCACACUGGGACUGAGACACGGCCCAG
rnacentral:rRNA from 1 species